rnacentral:rRNA from 1 species
UAGGGAAUAUUGGGCAAUGGAGGCAACUCUGACCCAGCCAUGCCGCGUGAAGGAUGAAGGCCCUCUGGGUUGUAAACUUCUUUUAUCAGGGAAGAAACCUUCGAUUUCGAAUCGAAGCUGACGGUACCUGAAGAAUAAGCACCGGCUAACUCCGUGCCAGCAGCCGCGGUAAUACGGAGGGUGCAAGCGUUAUCCGGAUUUACUGGGUUUAAAGGGUGCGUAGGCGGAUUAUUAAGUCCGUGGUGAAAUCUUUGGGCUCAACCCAAAAAUUGCCAUUGAUACUAUUAGUCUUGAAUGUAGUUGAGGUGGGCGGAAUGAGUCAUGUAGCGGUGAAAUGCUUAGAUAUGACUCAGAACACCAAUUGCGAAGGCAGCUCACUAAACUAAUAUUGACGCUGAGGCACGAAAGCGUGGGGAGCAAACAGG